UGUAGCCCAGGCUGGCCUGGAAUUCACAGAGGACUGCCUGCCUCUUGCCUCCUGAGUGUUGAGACUAAUGGCGUGUGCCACCAUGCCUGGCCUUCAUGGUAUCUUACUUUCAAGUCCUCCAAAAUUAAUAAAAAGUAAAUGCUUUUUCUAACAAACCAUUUCAAGGUACCUGUUAUAAUAACUUUGAUCUUUAAUAAAUAAUUUUAAUUUUGUUAAGAAAGCAAGACUAUUGAUGUAGUUUACCUGUGUUUGUAACUGUUAGGUAUCUAAGAUACCAUAUGUUUUCUGUGUUUUAAAUACAGCCUCCUGAGCUUUUAUUGAAAAUCACCUCAUUAAAAUGUUUUCCAAAUUUUGCAGCAACAACAAUAAUGUUAAUAUUAAAGUAUAUUGUAAAUGGUAUUUAAAAACAAAUAUAGUUGUGCCAGGCGUGGCCCACGCCUUUAAUCCCAGCACUCAGAAGGCAGAGGAAGAUGGAUCUCCGUGAUUUUGAAGCUAGCCUGGUCUACACAGUGAGUUCCAGGACAGUCAGCGCUACACAGUGAGACCCUACUUCAAAAAACAAACCAUUAACAUAAACAAAUAAGGUGAAUAAGAGUGGUUGAGUAGUGUGAGGAUAGUAAUGUAAUCCUACUUUAAAAUUUUUUUGAGACAGCCUUGAACUCACAGAGAUUCAUCUUCCUCUGCAUCCCAGAGAUGGAAUUGAAGAUAUGGCCCUCCUGGUUGAGUGUAGGCAGCGACUUCUCCUCCUCUUCCUUCAGAUCCAUUUGUUUUAUUUUUGUGUGUAUGGGUGUUUGGGCUACAAGUAUGUCUGCGAACCUCAUGUACACUGUGCCCGUGGAGCCCAGAAGAGUGCACUGGAUCCGCUGGAACGGGAGUUACAGACCCUUGUGAGCUGCCAGAGAGGAUCUCCCAAGGCCACCCAUGCCACACAGCCACAGCAGACUACAGAGGGAGGCAGGAGAGAGGAGAGAAUGGAAGAGUCCUGGGCAACUGGCUUUACUUUUCCCUUCGCAUUUCUUUAUUGCGUAUGUAUACGUGUGGGCAUGUGCACCCCAGCACACACGUGGAGGCCAAAGGACAACUUGCAGAUGUCACGUUUUCUUCCUUCCCCCUCGUGGGACUGGGAGAAGGAACCGCACCUUUGCCCAGUGACCACAUUGCCGGCUCCGCUCACUCACUGGCUGACACCUUUACCCACAUCACACAGAUAGAGCAAACACAGUUUGGUGAACUGAGUUCCAUUAAACCAAGUGGUCUUGUCCCUCAUAA